AAUGCCUAGGAAUCUGCCUGGUAGUGGGGGAUAACGUUCGGAAACGGACGCUAAUACCGCAUACGUCCUACGGGAGAAAGCAGGGGACCUUCGGGCCUUGCGCUAUCAGAUGAGCCUAGGUCGGAUUAGCUAGUUGGUGAGGUAAUGGCUCACCAAGGCGACGAUCCGUAACUGGUCUGAGAGGAUGAUCAGUCACACUGGAACUGAGACACGGUCCAGACUCCUACGGGAGGCAGCAGUGGGGAAUAUUGGACAAUGGGCGAAAGCCUGAUCCAGCCAUGCCGCGUGUGUGAAGAAGGUCUUCGGAUUGUAAAGCACUCUAAGUUGGGAGGAAGGGUUGUAGAUUAAUACUCUGCAAUUUUGACGUUACCGACAGAAUAAGCACCGGCUAACUCUGUGCCAGCAGCCGCGGUAAUACAGAGGGUGCAAGCGUUAAUCGGAAUUACUGGGCGUAAAGCGCGCGUAGGUGGUUUGUUAAGUUGGAUGUGAAAUCCCCGGGCUCAACCUGGGAACUGCAUUCAAAACUGACUGACUAGAGUAUGGUAGAGGGUGGUGGAAUUUCCUGUGUAGCGGUGAAAUGCGUAGAUAUAGGAAGG
rnacentral:rRNA from 1 species